rnacentral:lncRNA from 1 species
CGUUUUUGUCCAUUUAUUUAGAAAAAAAAUUAACAUGGGCAAAUGAGAUACCUCAGUGUUACAACAGAGUAUAGAAAUGUCUAGCAAUAGUCAAAUAAUUUGAUCUUUAAAUACAAAAUAACCACAUGAACACCUAAUAUACAGGUUUCAUCUGAAUACAUAUUUAUUAGAUAAAUAUUAGAGGCUGUCACAUCAUCUAACUACAUACAGUUUUGCAAGACUAGAAAUCACAAUUAGUUUUCUGACCAGUUUAAAGUAUGAAAUGAUUGCAUUGUACAGAGAUGUACAAAGACGAUGACGUCGCUGUGGGGGUUACUUCAGGCUGCACGGUGGGUUUGUGUUCAUGUGUGUGUGUCAAUCACCUGCGAUCAUGAUAUCAAAAAUUAUACAAAGGAUGAAUUUGGUUACAAUUUUCUUCUGAAAUCCCCGUUUCUUUUCAUUAUUUCCAUAGCACCCUAAAAACACACAGGUGGUGGGACUAGUACACUGAAGCUAAAUAGUACAUGUAGGUAAAAUAAAAACAAAAACGGAACAAAAAAAUUCCUUUCCACACAGAGUCAGAGUAUAUUACAUGAUGAGACAGAUGCGGAGAGAGACCUCACAGACGCUAACAGACAGGAUCUAGUUUUUUUUUCCCACAUUAAGAUGGAGUUCCAAGCCUUUUUGUUUUGUUCCGUAAAAUAAGAACAAU